rnacentral:rRNA from 1 species
UACGUAGGGUCCGAGCGUUGUCCGGAAUUACUGGGCGUAAAGAGCUCGUAGGUGGUUUGUCACGUUGUUCGUGAAAACUCACAGCUCAACUGUGGGCGUGCGGGCGAUACGGGCAGACUGGAGUACUGCAGGGGAGACUGGAAUUCCUGGUGUAGCGGUGGAAUGCGCAGAUAUCAGGAGGAACACCGGUGGCGAAGGCGGGUCUCUGGGCAGUAACUGACGCUGAGGGGCGAAAGCGUGGGGAGCGAACAGG